rnacentral:rRNA from 1 species
GACGAACGCUGGCGGCGUGCUUAACACAUGCAAGUCGAACGGAAAGGCCCUGCUUUUGUGGGGUGCUCGAGUGGCGAACGGGUGAGUAACACGUGAGUAACCUGCCCUUGACUUUGGGAUAACUUCAGGAAACUGGGGCUAAUACCGGAUAGGAGCUCCUGCUGCAUGGUGGGGGUUGGAAAGUUUCGGCGGUUGGGGAUGGACUCGCGGCUUAUCAGCUUGUUGGUGGGGUAGUGGCUUACCAAGGCUUUGACGGGUAGCCGGCCUGAGAGGGUGACCGGCCACAUUGGGACUGAGAUACGGCCCAGACUCCUACGUGAGGCAGCAGUGGGGAAUAUUGCACAAUGAGCGGAAGCCUGAUGCAGCAACGCCGCGUGCGGGAUGACGGCCUUCGGGUUGUAAACCGCUUUCGCCUAUGACGAAGCGUGAGUGACGGUAAUGAGUAAAGAAGCACCGGCUAACUACGUG